AUGAAGAGCAUGAAGAUUAACAACAAAGAUGAAAGCUUUGCACAAAAGGGUAUCCUAAUUCAUAGUCAAGUUAUCAAGAUCAAGCAAGAAUCUGAGAAAAUCUAUGAUUGGUCAUUUGCUCAACUUGAAAUAAGGCGUGUUCUAAGGGAUACUUUCCGGUCACCGUUGGGAAUUUCCAGCCAACCUAUUUCAGUUGGGGAUUCAUAG